GGUCUUGUAGUGUAGCGGUUAUCACAAAGGAUUCUGACUCCUUUAACCCAGGUUCGAGUCCUGGUAAGACCU
rfam:Paramecium tetraurelia chromosome undetermined scaffold_41, whole genome shotgun sequence.